rnacentral:tRNA from 1 species
UGGGAUGAAGCUUUAAGCGAUUUAUUUACAUUAAAUAGUACUUUGGUAUCAAAGCAUCUUAA